rnacentral:rRNA from 1 species
CAAGCGAUAGGUAAGGGCAUCUGGUGAAUGCCUUGGCAAUCAGAGGCGAAGAAGGACGUGAUACACUGCGAAAAGCCUUGGGGAGUUGUGAAUAAACAUUGAUCCGAGGAUAUCCGAAUGGGGAAACCCACAGCAUAAGCUGUAUCAAUACCUGAAUAUAUAGGGUAUUGAGGCGAACGCAGGGAACUGAAACAUCUAAGUACCUGUAGGAAAGGAAAUCAACCGAGACUCCGAGAGUAGUGGCGAGCGAAAUCGGACCAGCCAAAUUGCUUUGUAAUAAGAACCGGAAGUAUCUGGGAAGGUACAUCUUAGAGGGUGAUAAUCCCGUACGGGUAGAAAGUUACGAAGUAUGAGAGUAGGGCGGAACACGAGAAAUUCUGUCUGAAUAUAGGUCGACCACGAUCUAAGGCUAAGUACUACUGAUUGACCGAUAGUGAACCAGUACCGUGAGGGAAAGGUGAAAAGUACCCCGACAAGGGGAGUGAAAUAGAACCUGAAACCGGAUGCCUACAAGCAGUCGGAGGGACAUUAAGUUCUGACGGCGUACCUUUUGUAUAAUGGGUCAGCGAGUUAGUUUAUGUAGCAAGCAUAAGUCGAUAGAUGGAUGCGAAGCGAAAGCGAGUGUUAAUAGCGCGUUAAGUUACAUGAAUUAGACCCGAAACCGAGUGAUCUAGCCAUGAACAGGCUGAAGGUUGGGUAACACCAACUGGAGGGCCGAACCCACUCCCGUUGAAAAGGUAGGGGAUGAUUUGUGGCUAGGGGUGAAAGGCCAAUCAAACUCGGAAAUAGCUGGUUCUCCGCGAAAACUAUUUAGGUAGUGCGGUAGGCGAAUACCAUGAGGGGUAGAGCACUGAAAGAGCUAGGGGGGAGCGAUCCUUACCAAACUCUAUCAAACUCCGAAUACUCAUGAGUAAUACUUACCAGACAGACAGUAGGUGCUAAGGUCUAUUGUCGAGAGGGAAAGAGCCCAGACCGUCAACUAAGGUCCCUAAAUUAUGGCUAAGUGGUAAAGGAAGUGAGAUGUCCAAAACAGUCAGGAGGUUGGCUUAGAAGCAGCCAUCCUUUAAAGAAAGCGUAAUAGCUCACUGAUCUAAAUAAGAUGUCCUGCGCCGAAGAUGUAACGGGGCUAAAGCCAUAUACCGAAGUUACGGAAUCGUUUUUAACGAUUGGUAGCGGAGCGUUCUGUAGGCCGAUGAAGGUGUUCUGUGAGGGAUGCUGGAGGUAUCAGAAGUGAGAAUGCUGACAUGAGUAGCGAAAAGAAGAGUGAGAGACUCUUCCGCUGAAAGUCCAAGGUUUCCUGCGUAAAGCUAAUCUGCGCAGGGUUAGUCGGCCCCUAAGGCGAGGCAGAGAUGCGUAGUCGAUGGGAACACGGUUAAUAUUCCGUGACCGGCCGGGAAGUGACGGAUACAGUAGUUUGUAAUGUCUUAAUGGAUUGAUGUUGCAGGUGAUGUGUUCCAGGAAAUAGCCCCGGCUAAGACCGUACCCCAAACCGACACAGGUGGACAGGUAGAGUAUACCAAAGCGCUUGAGAGAACUAUGUUGAAGGAACUAGGCAAAAUGCUUGUGUAACUUCGGGAUAAGCAAGCCCGAUUUAGAGGCAACUCUAGGUCGGGGGCACAUACUAGGGGGUAGCGACUGUUUAACAAAAACACAGGACUCUGCGAAAUUGAAAGAUGAAGUAUAGGGUCUGACGCCUGCCCGGUGCCGGAAGGUUAAGGAGAGAUGUGAGAGCAUUGAACUGAAGCCCCGGUAAACGGCGGCCGUAACUAUAACGGUCCUAAGGUAGCGAAAUUCCUUGUCGGGUAAGUUCCGACCUGCACGAAUGGCG